rnacentral:rRNA from 1 species
UACGAAGGGGGCUAGCGUUGCUCGGAAUUACUGGGCGUAAAGCGCACGUAGGCGGCUUUCUAAGUCGGGGGUGAAAUCCUGGAGCUCAACUCCAGAACUGCCUUCGAUACUGGAAAGCUCGAGUCCGGGAGAGGUGAGUGGAACUGCGAGUGUAGAGGUGAAAUUCGUAGAUGAUUCGCAAGAACACCAGUGGCGAAAGGCG